rnacentral:rRNA from 1 species
GACAGAGGAUGCAAGCGUUAUCCGGAAUGAUUGGGCGUAAGCGUCUGUAGGUGGCUUUUAAGUCCGCCGUCAAAUCCCAGGGCUCAACCCCUGGACAGGCGGUGGAAACUACCAAGCUGGAGUACGGUAGGGGCAGAGGGAAUUUCCGGUGGAGCGGUGAAAUGCGUAGAGAUCGGAAAGAACACCAACGGUGAAAGCACUCUGCUGGGCCGACACUGACACUGAGAGACGAAAGCUAGGGGAGCGAAUGGG